rnacentral:rRNA from 1 species
GUUCACGGCCGCGGUAUCCUAACCGUGCGAAGGUAGCGUAAUCACUCGUUCUUUAAAUGAGGACUAGUAUGAACGGCAUCACGAGGGUUAUACUGUCUCCUCCCUUUAAUCAGUGAAACUGAUCUUCCCGUGAAGAAGCGGGAAUAAAUCUAUAAGACGAGAAGACCCUAUGGAGCUUUAAACACACUACAAUUGCCUCACUCUAUAUUAAUCUCUGGAAAACCACUUAUCCGGGCAUUUUGAUAGCAAGUUUUAGGUUGGGGUGACCGCGGAGCAAAAAACAACCUCCACAGCGAACAGGACUUUCCCUUAAGCUCAGGAUUACAACCCUAAGAAUCAAUAAAUUGACACCCAUUGACCCAAUUUCUUGACCAACGGACCAAGUUACCCUAGGGAUAACAGCGCAAUCUACUUCAAGAGCUCCUAUCGACAAGUGGGUUUACGACCUCGAUGUUGGAUCAGGGUAUCCCAGUGGUGCAGCCGCUGCUAACGGUUCGUUUGUUCAACGAUUAAAACCC